rnacentral:tRNA from 1 species
GUUCCUUUAGUUUAAGUAGGGAGAAUGGCUGGCGUGGAGUCAGAGAUGUGGGUUCGAGUCCCAUAGGGAACA